UACAGUGCGACAUAAAAGAGAUGAAAUUAAUUAAUUUGGAACUAAUUUUUUUUUCAUUAUCUGGCAACCCUAAAUUUUCAAUGCAGCUGUCAAGUUGAAUAAAAAUUUGUUGUUUUUUUGGUGAAGUUGAGAAUUCUUAAGAUAAAAUUGUAAUUUUGAACAAGAAAUUUACUCAAAAAAGGAGAAAUCAUGAAAAAGGUUAAACGUAGCGGUGUCCGUGAUGCCAUGUAUAAAGUUUUAAUUCGGUGUUUCUCAUAAUUUCAAGCUGAAAAACGAGAAAAAUAUUUGGAAAACGUUUCAAAACGUACAGCAGAUUAUACCGGGGUUUCUGAAAGCACAGUACGCAGGAUAGUGGAGCAAUGGAGUAAAAAUGAAGGAGAAUAUCUACAAAAAAUAAAUAAAAAUAUGUAGUUUUCAAA